rnacentral:rRNA from 1 species
AGGAUGUGCGUCCGCCCAGACAACCAGGAUGUUGGCUUAGAAGCAGCCAUACAUUUAAAGAGUGCGUAAUAGCUCACUGGUCGAGAGACCCUGCGCCGAAGAUUACCGGGGCUAAAGUACGAAACCGAAGCUGUGGCUACGACGUAAGUCGUGGGGUAGGGGAGCGUUCUGUGAGGGCUGAAGUCGUUCUGUAAGGAACGGUGGACUUCACAGAAGUGAGAAUGUUGGUAUGAGUAGCGAAAAGAAUGGUGAGAAUCCAUUCCACCGAAAGCAUAAGGAUUCCUGGGCAACGAUCGUCGUCCCAGGGUAAGUCGGGACCUAAUCCGAGGCAUGGAGCGUAGGAGAUGGACAACUGGCAGAUAUUCCAGUACCGGUAAUGAUUGUUUGAGCGAUGGAGUGACACAGGAGGGCAGGCAGGCAGGAGAUUGGUUGUUCCUGUACAAGCGUGUAGGAUGGGACGCAGGCAAAUCCGCGUCCUGUGAGUCUGAGGCGUGAUGUGGAGGUUCCGGAAACGGAACUGAAGCUGCUGACCCCACACUGUCGAGAAAAGCUUCUAGUUAGAGAAUUACCGCCCGUACCGUAAACCGACACAGGUAUGCGGGGAGAGAAUCCUAAGGUGCGCGGGAGAACCCUCGUUAAGGAACUCGGCAAAAUGUACCCGUAACUUCGGGAUAAGGGUAGCCGCUGUUGUGAAGUCUGCACAGACGGAGCAUGAGGCGGUCGCAGAGAAGAGGCCCAAGCGACUGUUUACCACAAACACAGGUGCCUGCUAAAGAGAAAUCUGACGUAUAGGUGCUGACACCUGCCCAGUGCCGGAAGGUUAAGGAAGGAUGUCCGGAGCAAUCCAAAGCAUUCGACCGAAGCCCCGGUGAACGGCGGCCGUAACUAUAACGGUCCUAAGGUAGCGAAAUUCCUUGUCGGGUAAGUUCCGACCCGCACGAAAGGUGUAACGAUUUGGGCACUGUCUCAACGAGGGACCCGGUGAAAUUGAAGUACCUGUGAAGAUGCAGGUUACCCGCGACUGGACAGAAAGACCCCAUGGAGCUUUACUGUAACCUGACAUUGGGUUCUGAUACAUCACGUACAGGAUAGGUGGGAGGCAUGGAAGCGAGGACGCUAGUCUUCGUGGAGCCGCCGUUGGGAUACCACCCUUGAUGUAUCGGAAUUCUAACCGUAGGAGUAACGAAACUCGGGACAGUGUCAGGCGGGCAGUUUGACUGGGGCGGUCGCCUCCCAAAGAGUAACGGAGGCGCCCAAAGGUUCCCUCAGCGCGGCCGGAAAUCGCGCGAAGAGUGUAAAGGCAGAAGGGAGCUUGACUGAGAGCCAAACACGGCGAUCAGGUACGAAAGUAGGGCUUAGUGAUCCGGUGGCAUCCAAGUGGAAGGGCCAUCGCUCAACGGAUAAAAGCUACCCUGGGGAUAACAGGCUAAUCUCUCCCAAGAGUCCAUAUCGACGGGGAGGUUUGGCACCUCGAUGUCGGCUCAUCACAUCCUGGGGCUGAAGUCGGUCCCAAGGGUUGGGCUGUUCGCCCAUUAAAGUGGUACGUGAGCUGGGUUCAGAACGUCGUGAGACAGUUCGGUCCCUAUCCAUCGCGGGCGCAAGAGAUUUGAAGGGGGCUGCUCCUAGUACGAGAGGACCGGAGUGGACGAACCAAUGGUGUACCAAUUAUCUCGCCAGAGGUAUAGUUGGGUAGCUACGUUCGGAAAGGAUAAACGCUGAAAGCAUCUAAGCGUGAAACCAGCCUUAAGAUGAGAUCUCUCAUAGAGUAAUCUAGUAAGACACCUUGGAGAAGACGAGGUUGAUAGGUCGGGAGUGUAAGUACAGUAAUGUAUUCAGCGGACCGAUACUAAUAUGUCGAGGGCUUGACUUA